CCUACGGGGGGCAGCAGUGAGGAAUAUUGGUCAAUGGACGAGAGUCUGAACCAGCCAAGUCGCGUGAAGGAUGACUGCCCUAUGGGUUGUAAACUUCUUUUAUAUGGGAAUAAAAUGUUCCACGUGUGGGAGUUUGUAUGUACCAUAUGAAUAAGGAUCGGCUAACUCCGUGCCAGCAGCCGCGGUAAUACGGAGGAUUCGAGCGUUAUCCGGAUUUAUUGGGUUUAAAGGGUGCGUAGGUGGUUCGGUAAGUUAGUUGUGAAAGUCUGGGGCUCAACCGUGACACUGCCGUUGAAACUGGCGGUCUUGAGUAUAGUAGAGGUAGGCGGAAUGCGUGGUGUAGCGGUGAAAUGCAUAGAGAUCACGAAGAACUCCGAUUGCGAAGGCAGUUCACCGGACUGCAACUGACGUUGAGGCACGAAAGCGUGGGGAGCAAACAGGAUUAGAUACCCUAGUAGUC
rnacentral:rRNA from 1 species